rnacentral:ncRNA from 1 species
UAAACAACUAUGAAGGAGAGGAGUAAGUAAACUUCUAUAAAGAGAGGAAAGCUCACAGGCUGAAAGGUUUUUCUAGAUAAAGUUUGCUGAAGGUAGCUCCUAAGUUUUUAAACUGAAAUAUAGUAGGUUUAAACGGAUAUACCGUUAUCUAUAUAAGUGCCAUAGUUUUACUAUGGAAAUAAGGUGGUACCGCGAAUAUACCCUUCGUCCUUAUA